UACGUAGGGUGCGAGCGUUAAUCGGAAUUACUGGGCGUAAAGGGCGCGUAGGCGGCCCGCUAAGUCGAACGUGAAAUCCCCGAGCUCAACUCCAGAACUGCCCUUGAUACUGGCGGUCUCGAGUCCGGGAGAGGUGAGUGGAACUGCGAGUGUAGAGGUGAAAUUCGUAGAUAUUCGCAAGAACACCAGUGGCGAAGGCGGCUCACUGGCCCGGUACUGACGCUGAGGUGCGAAAGCGUGGGGAGCGAACAGG
rnacentral:rRNA from 1 species